GAACGAACGCUGGCGGCAGGCCUAACACAUGCAAGUCGAACGCUCCAGCAAUGGAGAGUGGCAGACGGGUGAGUAACGCGUGGGAACCUUCCCUAUGGUUCGGAAUAGCUCAGGGAAACUUGAGGUAAUACCGGAUAAGCCCCUUGGGGGAAAGAUUUAUCGCCAUUGGAUGGGCCCGCGUAGGAUUAGCUAGUUGGUGAGGUAACGGCUCACCAAGG
rnacentral:rRNA from 1 species